GCCUCGGURGCGCAGUWGGCAGCGCGUCAGUCUCAUAAUCUGAARGCCGUGAGUUCGAGCCUCACCCGGGGCA
rnacentral:tRNA from 1 species